AUUGAACGCUGGCGGCAGGCUUAACACAUGCAAGUCGAGCGAGCGGCGGACGGGUGAGUAAUGUCUGGGAAACUGCCUGAUGGGGGGGGAUAACUACUGGAAGCGGUAGCUAAUACCGCAUAACAUCAGAUGUGCCCAGAUGGGGUUAGCUAGUAGGUGGGGUACUGGCUCACCUAGGCGACGAUCCCUAGCGGGGCUGAGAGGAUGAACAGCCACACUGGAACUGAGACACGGGCCAGACUCCUACGGGAGGCAGCAGUGGGGAAUAUUGCACAAUGGGCGCAAGCCUGAUGCAGCCAUGCCGCGUGUGUGAAGAAGGCCUUCGGGUUGUAAAGCACUUUCAGCGAGGAGGCGUUACUCGCAGAAGAAGCACCGGCUAACUCCGUGCCAGCAGCCGCGGUAAUUC
rnacentral:rRNA from 1 species